GAUGAACGCUAGCGGCAGGCCUAAUACAUGCAAGUCGUGGGGCAGCAUGAAUGUAGCAAUACAUUUGAUGGCGACCGGCAAACGGGUGCGGAACACGUACACAACCUUCCUAUAAGUGGGGAAUAGCCCAGAGAAAUUUGGAUUAAUACCCCGUAACAUAACGAUGUGGCAUCACAUUGUUAUUAUAGCUUCGGCGAUUAUUGAUGGGUGUGCGGCUGAUUAGAUAGUUGGCGGGGUAACGGCCCACCAAGUCUACGAUCAGUAGCUGAUGUGAGAGCAUGAUCAGCCACACGGGCACUGAGACACGGGCCCGACUCCUACGGGAGGCAGCAGUAAGGAAUAUUGGUCAAUGGACGCAAGUCUGAACCAGCCAUGCCGCGUGAAGGAUUAAGGUCCUCUGGAUUGUAAACUUCUUUUAUCUGGGACGAAAAAAGGCUUUUCUAAGUCACUUGACGGUACCAGAUGAAUAAGCACCGGCUAACUCCGUGCCAGCCGCCGCAGUAACAC
rnacentral:rRNA from 1 species